AUUGAACGCUGGCGGCAGGCCUAACACAUGCAAGUCGAGCGGAUGAAGGGAGCUUGCUCCUGGAUUCAGCGGCGGACGGGUGAGUAAUGCCUAGGAAUCUGCCCGGUAGUGGGGGAUAACGUCCGGAAACGGGCGCUAAUACCGCAUACGUCCUGAGGGAGAAAGUGGGGGAUCCUCGGACCUCACGCUAUCAGAUGAGCCUAGGUCGGAUUAGCUAGUUGGUGGGGUAAAGGCCUACCAAGGCGACGAUCCGUAACUGGUCUGAGAGGAUGAUCAGUCACACUGGAACUGAGACACGGUCCAGACUCCUACGGGAGGCAGCAGUGGGGAAUAUUGGACAAUGGGCGAAAGCCUGAUCCAGCCAUGCCGCGUGUGUGAAGAAGGUCUUCGGAUUGUAAAGCACUUUAAGUUGGGAGGAAGGGCAGUAAGUUAAUACCUUGCUGUUUUGACGUUACCAACAGAAUAAGCACCGGCUAACUUCGUG
rnacentral:rRNA from 1 species